AGAGUUUGAUUAUGGCUCAGAACGAACGCUUGCUGCAUGCUUUAUACAUGCAAGUCGAACGGAGGCCCUAGCUUGCUAGGUGUCCUUAGUGGCGCACGGGUGAGUAACACGUGGGAACAUACCUUAUAGUACGGAAUAACUGCGGGAAACUGUAGCUAAUACCGUAUACUCCAGUAAUGGGAAAGAUUUAUCGCUAUAAGAUUGGCCCGCGCAAGAUUAGCUUGUUGGUGAGGUAAAAGCUCACCAAGGCUUCGAUCUUUAGCUGGUUUGAGAGGACGAUCAGCCACACUGGGACUGAGACACGGCCCAGACUCCUACGGGAGGCAGCAGUAGGGAAUAUUGGACAAUGGGGGCAACCCUGAUCCAGCAAUGCAGCGUGAGUGACGAAGGCCUUAGGGUUGUAAAACUCUUUCAUCGGUGAGGAUAAUGACAGUAGCCGAAGAAGAAGGACCGGCUAAUUCCGUGCCAGCAGCCGCGGUAAUACGGAAGGUCCUAGCGUUGUUCGGAAUUACUGGGCGUAAAGCGCAUGUAGGCGGAACAGAAAGUUAGAAGUGAAAUCCCUGGGCUCAACCUAGGAAUUGCUUUUAAAACUUCUGUUCUGGAAUUCAGGAGAGGAAAAUGGAAUUUCCAGUGUAGAGGUGAAAUUCGUAGAUAUUGGAAGGAACACCAGUGGCGAAGGCGAUUUUCUGGACUGAUAUUGACGCUGAGAUGCGAAGGCAUGGGUAGCAAACGGGAUUAGAUACCCCGGUAGUCCAUGCAGUAAACGAUGGGUGCUAGUCGUCGGACUUUUGUUCGGUGUCGUAGCUAACGCGUUAAGCACCC
rnacentral:rRNA from 1 species